ensembl:lncRNA
UGGAGGGCGGGGAAGGGGCGGAACGAAUCACCUUUCCUCUUUUGCGAUUGGUUACAGUCGGCCUCGAGUCCCGCCCCCCGCGCCGCCGCCAACAGGCGCCAGGGCCGUCACUCCCGCAGCCGCCGCGGCCGCCCCUCGCGCGGCCCCGCCCCCUCGCCGUGGCUGGGAUCUCGCGGGAAGAGCGGCGGGCACGGCGGUGGCUCGGGCUCCCGGCUGCGCGCGCGGAGCGGUAGGGUUCUCCUCACACAGGCGCUUCCUCGCGAAGGGGUUGGAGCUGCGGCGCCGCAGGCCUGGGCCGCCGCUUCUCUGCCUCAGGGCUCCCCGGUCCGCUCGCCCUCCGACGCUGCCCAGGCAGGCGUCGCCGAGGAGCAGAAGAGAGCUGUUCAUGCUUCCGUGUUCCCUCAGUCUGCUUCUGUGAGCCAAAGUGACGUGGCUGUAAGUUGGAGAAGUCCAGAGCUGACAUUUUGGGCACCGUGCAAAUUUGUAAAGUGUAUAAUAUUAAUAAGGCUUUUUGCCAAUGUUGCUGCUUCUACCUGUGUGUACUCAUGACGGGAAAAGGAUAUUUCAAGUAUCUAAAAAUUAUAAGGACAUGAGGUGAGGUGGGAAGCACAACAGAAUAAGGAAGUAGACAUGAGUAAAUCUUAUAACAUGUUAAGGAUGGGGGAUAUUUAAUUAUGUAGAGAUAAAUUAACCUUACAAACUUGUUUUUCAAGUUUGUUUCCUGAGUUUGAGAAAAGAAGUUUUCAGACUUUUAAGAGAAAUAUGAAGUGUGUGUUUUGUGGUGGAGGAGUAGGCAUUCUUAUUGCGGCACAGACUUCAGGAAAAGAUUUUUUUUUGUCAAACAUAUUCACAUCUAAUAGAUAUGUUUUUCUUGUGAGGCAUAUGAACCAUAAAACUGGUUUUAUAGUUUCAUUAUUACACUGCUGAAAAUGACAGUACCAAAGUGUCCUUGAAUUAUUAUUCAGAAUUCUAGAAUCAUAAAUGUGAUAUACUAAAGCAAUUUCUAGAAAGGAAGUCGUAAGACACAGAUUCCAGUCUUCAUUGUGCUAUUAACAGUGUGACCUUGAAUAAUCCCUUAGUUGCUCAGAGUCUCAGUUUCCAUAUAUACAGUGAAUAUAAAACUAAAGCAAGACAUGCCCCUGUCAGUAAUCAAUACAAGCUCCAGUUCCCAGGUUUGUGCUGCACUGAUUUUUAUGUUGCAGACUGGCAAUAUCGUAUGUAGAAAAGGGAGGGGAUAGAUACCAUGAGAGGGGCUGGUUCUCAGGGUUUACCUGAGUAGUUCUAUGUAACUUUUAUGUAUCAUACCUAAUUUUAGAUACAUGGGAAAUAUUUAAUUCCAGAACGUACAUUUAUGAAGGUAAAUGGUGUCCCUUGGACAGGUUAGCUUUGUCUGUUAAAGCAUUAUUGUUUAUUUUUUAUCCCUGGUUCUGUCCUAGAGUGUCUGUGUGAUAACAGCAUGUCCUUGUUGGACUCUGGAUUUGAUGAGGUUUCUAGUGCUUGUCUCUAGACUGUUUAGUUCAUCCUUACGCUACUGCAAAGGUGAUUUUUC